rnacentral:rRNA from 1 species
UGGGGAAUUUUGGACAAUGGGCGAAAGCCUGAUCCAGCAAUGCCGCGUGUGUGAAGAGGGCCUUCGGGUUGUAAAGCACUUUUGUCCGGAAAGAAAUCCUUGGCUCUAAUACAGUCGGGGGAUGACGGUACCGGAAGAAUAAGCACCGGCUAACUACGUGCCAGCAGCCGCGGUAAUACGUAGGGUGCAAGCGUUAAUCGGAAUUACUGGGCGUAAAGCGUGCGCAGGCGGUUUGCUAAGACCGAUGUGAAAUCCCCGGGCUCAACCUGGGAACUGCAUUGGUGACUGGCAGGCUAGAGUAUGGCAGAGGGGGGUAGAAUUCCACGUGUAGCAGUGAAAUGCGUAGAGAUGUGGAGGAAUACCGAUGGCGAAGGCAGCCCCCUGGGCCAAUACUGACGCUCAUGCACGAAAGCGUGGGGAGCAAACAGGAUUAGAUACCCUGGUAGUCCACGCCCUAAACGAUGUCAACUAGUUGUUGGGGAUUCAUUUCCUUAGUAACGUAGCUAACGCGUGAAGUUGACCGCCUGGGGAGUACGGUCGCAAGAUUAAAACUUAAAUGAAUUGACGGGGUCAUAGCUGUUUCCU